UGGGGAAUAUUGCACAAUGGGGGAAACCCUGAUGCAGCGUCGCCGCGUGAACGAAGAAGGUCUUCGUAUCGUAAAGUUCUUUCCUAUGGGAAGAUAAUGACAGUACCAUAGAAGAAAGCUCCGGCUAAAUACGUGCCAGCAGCCGCGGUAAUACGUAUGGAGCGAGCGUUGUCCGGAAUUAUUGGGCGUAAAGGGUACGCAGGCGGUUUAAUAAGUCGAAUGUUAAAGAUCGGGGCUCAACCCCGCAAAGCAUUGGAAACUGAUAAACUUGAGUAGUGGAGAGGAAAGUGGAAUUCCUAGUGUAGUGGUGAAAUACGUAGAUAUUAGGAGGAAUACCAGUAGCGAAGGCGACUUUCUGGACACAAACUGACGCUGAGGUACGAAAGCGUGGGGAGCAAACAGG
rnacentral:rRNA from 1 species